rnacentral:rRNA from 1 species
GACGAACCGAGCGAACGUUGUUCGGAAUCACUGGGCUUAAAGGGCGCGUAGGCGGGUGCUCAAGUCCGGGGUGAAAUCCUCCAGCUCAACUGGAGAACUGCCUCGGAUACUGGGUGCCUCGAGGGUGGUAGGGGUAUGCGGAACUAUCGGUGGAGCGGUGAAAUGCGUUGAUAUCGAUAGGAACUCCGGUGGCGAAGGCGGCAUACUGGACCACAUCUGACGCUGAGGCGCGAAAGCCAGGGGAGCAAACGGGG